UCUUUUCCUUUUUUUCCAGCAGCCGCGGUAAUACGUAUGGUGCAAGCGUUAUCCGGAUUUACUGGGUGUAAAGGGAGCGUAGACGGAUGGGCAAGUCUGAUGUGAAAACCCGGGGCUCAACCCCGGGACUGCAUUGGAAACUGUUCAUCUAGAGUGCUGGAGAGGUAAGUGGAAUUCCUAGUGUAGCGGUGAAAUGCGUAGAUAUUAGGAGGAACACCAGUGGCGAAGGCGGCUUACUGGACAGUAACUGACGUUGAGGCUCGAAAGCGUGGGGAGCAAACAGG
rnacentral:rRNA from 1 species